rnacentral:rRNA from 1 species
AUGAAGCUGAACAACGAGACGGUGACCAUCGAGCUCAAGAAUGGCACCACCGUCCACGGCACCAUCAUUGGCGUCGACAUCAGCAUGAAUACUCAUCUGAAGACUGUCAAGCUCACACUGAAAGGGAAGAAUCCUGUUACCCUUGACCACCUUAGUGUGAGGGGAAACAACAUUCGAUAUUACAUCCUUCCUGACAGCUUAAACCUGGAGACGUUGCUGGUUGAGGAAACACCAAGGGUGAAGCCUAAGAAGCCUACUGCAGGGAAACCUAUGGGUCGUGGGCGCGGCCGUGGUCGUGGGCGCGGUCGUGGCAGGGGGCGCUGA